GAUGAACGCUGGCGGCGUGCCUAAUACAUGCAAGUCGAGCGAACAGACGAGGAGCUUGCUCCUCUGACGUUAUCGGCGGUCGGGUGAGUAACACGUGGAUAACCUACCUAUCAGACUGGGAUAACUUCGGGAAACCGUAGCUAAUACCGGAUAAUAUAUUGAACCGCAUUGUUCAAUAGUUAAAUACGGUUUUUCUUUCACUUAUAGAUUGAUCCGCGCCGCAUUAGCUAGUUGGUAAGGUAACGGCUUACCAAGGCAACGAUGCGUAGCCGACCUGAGCGGGUGAUCGGACAGACUGGAACUGAGAAACGGUACAGACUCCUACGGGAGGCAGCAGUAGGGAAUCUUACGCAAUGGGCGAAAGCCUGACGGAGCAAAGCGGCGGGAGUGAUGAAGGUGUUAGGAUCGUAAAACGAUGUUAUUAGGGAAGAACAAAUGUGUAAGUAACUAUGCACGUAUUGACGGUACCUAAUCAGAAAGCCACGGCUAACUACGUG
rnacentral:rRNA from 1 species